ACAGUUUGAUCCUGGCUCAGGAUGAACGCUAGCGGCAGGCCUAACACAUGCAAGUCGAGGGGUAACAGGAGAGCUUGCUCUCGCUGACGACCGGCGCACGGGUGAGUAACGCGUAUGCAACCUACCUUUAACUGGGGGAUAGCCCGAAGAAAUUCGGAUUAAUACCCCAUACAACUAUAGAUAAGCAUUUAUUUAUAUUAAAAACUCCGGUGGUUAAAGAUGGGCAUGCGUAACAUUAGUUGGUGAGGUAACGGCUCACCAAGACUACGAUGUUUAGGGGGCCUGAGAGGGUGGUCCCCCACACUGGUACUGAGACACGGACCAGACUCCUACGGGAGGCAGCAGUGAGGAAUAUUGCGCAAUGGAGGCAACUCUGACGCAGCCAUGCCGCGUGCGGGAUGACGGCCCUACGGGUUGUAAACUGCUUUUAUACAGGAAGAACUUUCCGCACGUGUGCGGGAUUGACGGUACUGUACGAAUAAGCACCGGCUAACUCCGUGCCAGCAGCCGCGGUAAUACGGAGGGUGCAAGCGUUAUCCGGAUUUAUUGGGUUUAAAGGGUGCGUAGGCGGGAUAAUAAGUCAGUGGUGAAAUACUGCAGCUCAACUGUAGAACUGCCGUUGAUACUGUUAUUCUUGAGUUCGAUUGAGGUAGGCGGAAUGUGUAAUGUAGCGGUGAAAUGCUUAGAUAUUACACAGAACACCGAUUGCGUAGGCAGCUUACUAAGUUGACACUGACGCUGAGGCACGAAAGCGUGGGGAGCGAACAGGAUUAGAUACCCUGGUAGUCCACGCUGUAAACUAUGAUCACUAGCUGUUGGCGAUACAUCGAUCAGCGGCAAAGCGAAAGCAUUAAGUGAUCCACCUGGGGAGUACGGUCGCAAGAUUGAAACUCAAAGGAAUUGACGGGGGCCCGCACAAGCGGUGGAACAUGUGGUUUAAUUCGAUGAUACGCGAGGAACCUUACCUGGGCUUAAAUGCAGAUUGACGUUUCGGGAAACCGGAAUUCUCUUCGGAGCGAUUUGCAAGGUGCUGCAUGGUUGUCGUCAGCUCGUGCCGUGAGGUGUCGGGUUAAGUCCCAUAACGAGCGCAACCCCUAUCGUUAGUUGCCAGCGGAUAAUGCCGGGGACUCUAACGAAACUGCCGGUGUAAACCGAGAGGAAGGUGGGGAUGACGUCAAAUCAGCACGGCCCUUAUGUCCAGGGCUACACACGUGUUACAAUGGUCGGUACAGAGGGCAGCUACCUGGUGACAGGAUGCUAAUCUCGAAAGCCGGUCUUAGUUCGGAUCGAAGUCUGCAACUCGACUUCGUGAAGCUGGAAUCGCUAGUAAUCGCGUAUCAGCAACGACGCGGUGAAUACGUUCCCGGGCCUUGUACACACCGCCCGUCAAGCCAUGGAAGCUGGGGGUACCUGAAGUCUGU
rnacentral:rRNA from 1 species